AGAUGUCUUGAAUUUAAAACAAACAAAAUAGAACAAAAGCCAAAAAAAAUAACACCAUAACUUUCUAUUCUUAUUACAGCAGAUGUAAGGAGGCCCUUCUUGGCUUUGAUUGUGCAAACUCCGUGGCCAUUUGGGCAUUACAUGUCCCAGGUGAAUUGAAAUUGAAGACGUACCUGUCCUUAUACCUCAGAUAGUCUGCUUUCCACAUUGUUGUUCUGCAAAGAUGAUGAAUUCAAGAGACGCUGUAACUCAGUCAGAAGAGGCUGGGAUAUGAAACUCACCAGGUCAUCUUCAGAGUCCAGAUGUAGCGUUGAGAUGAGAGAAUUAAAAUGUCCCUCUGUG
rnacentral:lncRNA from 1 species